CUUCAGGCUCCUGGAAGAACUCGGAAACAGAUGGGAGCUGGCAUAAGAGGAUAGGUGGGGAGUCUCCCUAUGGAGAGGAAGGGUUGAAGAACUGUGCAAAACCAGCUUUCAGCCAGUGGUUGAGACAGAGCUUCUGGCAGGAUAUAGCAUCCAGCAUAAGUAUAGGGAUGAAGCCAGGAGAAGAAAUAUCUGUGGAAGCUCAGUGCAGGCAGUAUUAGCAAAGUUCUAGAGAGGUCAGUCCACAGAUCUAGAAAGCAGACAUAGAAACAGCACAUGCAAUAUAAAAUAAGAAGUGACAAUCAGAGACAUCCUGUGCUUUGGGGGAGAGCUCAGAUGACACCCAAAACCUUUUGCCACCCUUGUAAAGAUAAUGACAGACAAGUGGCAGAACAAAGGAAUAAGCCGCUUCAGAGACUGUGGUUAAACAAAUUCCUCCUCCUUCAAUAAAACAGAAGAAAAGCUUUGCGAUUCCUGAACUCAGUGUCUCCAUUCCUGGGACAGUGCAGUUGUGACCUCUAAUCCCUCCCCAGGAUGUAUUGCUGCAGCCUCAACUGAGAGGCAACAUGUAUGUACAGUUGCUUGGGGCAAGAACUCGCAUGGGUGUCAAAAUGUCAGAACAGUUCCUCUGCCGCCUGCAUUUACACUUCUGGGACUGAGGAGAGCAGAAGUUGCAAGCUUGCAUUCUCCUUCCAAAUUUCCAUCCUAUUUUUAAAUCGCAUCUUUUUGGAGGGUGGGAGGGAGUAAAUCAAGAUGUAGAUAUAUACUUCAGAAAGAACAUGUUCUACAUGUUUUUUUUUCAGUUGAUAUAAAAUAAGACAUUUCUUUUAAAAACAAGAUUUACUAUUUCUGGAAUAAUUGCAAGUAUUUAUUCAAACCAAGGCUUUUUUCCUUCAUUGUCAUUUGGUAAGUAUUUCAGGUUCUAACACCCAAAAACUCGGAGAAAACAAUACUAGUUAAUUAAAAGGGAACAAAAGUAAGCCAGUUAAAGCUUUUACAAAAUUAGAACUGUUUUCUGUAGCCCUCCACUUCAGAUGCUGUAUGCCAGGGCUCAAUCUUUGGAUUUCUUUAAUCAUUUGGAUUGCCCUGUUCUUCCUCCUGAUUUAUCCAGUGGUGCAGAAGGAUUACAUCAGCAUAAUGGACACAAUGUUAAGUGUCUACAUCAGUAUAAUCAGCUUGACAGUGUUCUGAUUUAUUCCUUCUUGAAAAGUGUGGCAUCAUAAAGAUGCUGUACUGUAUAUAGCACCACUUAGUGGCAGAAGGCUAUUUCAAAUUCCCCCUUCUGAAAUCUAAUCUGAGGAACUUUGUUCCAAGUGAGACCAAACCAAUACAUCCAUUUUCCCUGCUUCCUGACUUUGCACAUUCAGAGUCCCCCAGUGCUGCUAUGGGUCUCCCUCUCCAGCACAAUAGCACUCUGGCUCUGAGCAGAACAAUCACAGCAUAUCCCUUCUCUGUCUCUUUUCUCCACUCCACUCAUGUGUGUUCCUCGUUUGGCUGUGCCCACCGAGAUGGACAAGUAUCUUUUGCCUGUGUUAGAGGCUGAUCUCAAGUUAUGUGUUGUGUGUAAAUCGAAAGGUGCUACCCUAACUGCUGUUAUACUUGGCUAUCAACACAAUGAACAGAAAAUAGGAAAACAUCACAAAGCAGGCUGAGGGUGAAUCCCUGCUUUCAGGAGCCAGAGCAAUACCAAAACGACUCAGACAGGUAUUUUUCUUUGCACAACACUAAUGUCAGGGUUGUUCAUCGUUUGAUAGUGAAAAUAGUGAAAGUAGUUCAUUGUAGUGAAUUUUAGCAGUGUUAGCAGAAGUUUCUCGCUUUGGGGAUAUAAAGAGAACUACUCUGUUUAGGGAUAAAGGAACCUGUAGUAACAUCAGUGCUUGGAAAAAUUAAAACAGAUGGAUACUUCCUUCCUCACCAAAACUCACUGAACCUUCCAAAGGGAUAUUGUGCUGUCAUACUACAGCCCCUGCUUGCAUGGGAAGAAAGGGUGCUUCAUCAAGAAACAUAAAGUAAAAUCUGCUGUUUAUAACACAUAUUGGACAAGCAACAGCAGGCUGCAACCUUCAGCUUUAAUUUUAAUGACACUAUCUCAUGUGCCAUUGCAGUAAUUUUGUUUUUUCUGAGUGUUUCUUUACAGUACUUAUAGAAAUGGCUCUUUUCAAGCCAUAGAUUAGCACAUUAUGGCUAUAAGUGAAUGGGAAAACAGUAAUGGUAGAGACAAUAAGUUCCAUUCUUAUUGUAAAGUUCCUCACAAGCAUUUGCAGUUUCUUUCCAGUGCCCUAUCAGCUGUAUUCUGAUCGUGUGUUCUGCAUCAGUUAUUCCAACACAGUACUGAGAACCAAUUUUUUCAAUCAGUUGUGUCCAAAAUGCAUAUGCAAUCUCACAUCUGAGUUGUGUGUACAAUUACUGAGAUUCCAUGCGUGCAUUGGGUAAUUUCUCACAUAAAUGCACUUAAUUAGUCAUCUGUGCAUGAGCUUUCCUAUUUGCAUACAUACUUAGGGCAAUUUUGCAUGCAAAUUAAGCACUUUAUAUAUAUAUAUGUAAAAGUUUGACUCUCAUCAUGUUUACUAAACAGAAGCUUAUGUUAGAUCUGGAAGAAAAUAAUUAAGUUGUCCGACAGCACACAAUACAAUGUGGUAGCUUGCAUAUGGGUUAUUAUAGUGUCCACAUCCUGCUGAGGUUUUCACAGAAAGGUUAUUAGAUUUAUCUCUCAUAAAAUACUUGAGGAUCAGCUGUGUAAAUGACCAAUCUGUUGAAAUAUCCGGAUAGGUGAAGUACGGGUUAUGCAAUUCUGCCCAUAACUUGCACCAGAUAUAAUUUGUAUUUGUUGUUGAAAUCUUAUAAUAAAAAUGUCCCAUCUCAAUCCUGUGCUUCUUCUGAGGCUACAAUAAAACUUGCUAGGUGAUUUUGACAUUUCGUAUUGAUGGAUUAGUACAAUCAUUGUACAGUCAUAUACAAUAUGCUUUAUUAAACCACAAGUCUGCCUGUAACUCAUAAUGGAAGAUGGUGUAGGAAUAUCUCCCUUAGUAUUUCUCUCUCAGAGAGACCAAAACCACACAUUAUCCAUUGUCUGUCAGAGUUACUUUUUUAGCUGGGGGUUACCCAGUCUUGUAGGUACCGAUAUUUUUAGUGCCUACACACGUCCUAGACACAGUGAGAGCCUAACUUAAAAGCAUGUGUGCGGUUUGGAACAGAUUAGAUGAUGUGAGACCACAGGAUCUAUUGGUCAGAGUUAACAGGAUAACUACAGAUAAUCUCGUUAGAUGAAUGCAUGAACUUGAAAAAUAAUUCUUUGGAGUUCAGAUAUUUCUGGACACUGCCAAAAGGCAGCAGUUACUCUGUACACAGAACUCUUGGGGCUUGCGCAAGAACCCCACCGACACCAAAAAAUAGCACAUAUCACUUGAACAGUAGAGUCAGGUCACAACCACCAAUGGCAGUUAGCAAAGUUUUUUACCUUGUGACUCUUUCUCUUCUUUUCUGUUUAUGUGUGUGUGGAGGACUUUGGGUUUUAGUAUUUUUAGCCUGCAAUCACUCUAUUAUUCAGCUUACCGGGUAUACCACAUUCCUAAAUAGUUCCCUUUCUUUUAUCUCUAGGCUUUAUUUCACUUAGGCAUGUAAUAUUAGUAGUAGAACUCCUCCACACCAUAUUAUUAUCCUUAUUUAUAGCUAAAUCAUAGUGAUUCAGAUAUUCAGAUAAAUUUCACAUACAUCUGUAACAUGGCUGAAGUUUCAUGGAGACAAACAUUAAAUUUCUCACUGCCUUUUUAAACUGGAUAUGUACUGAAUUUCUUCAAGUGUGUGAUAUUUUGUCAUGAAGUAAUCUCUUACAAAAGCCCAUCUCUUCCUCUCUCUCCAAGUUUUCUUUUCUCAUCUUUUCAGCUCUCCUAUUCAAAUCCAUAAGCUGUCAAAUCUGUCACUUGUAAAGUGUUUUGUCUUCCAGGUGGGUUUUGACCAAAGAUGCUGACAGCUCCAGAAAAUGACUUCAUACUAAAUAGGUAACCGGGGCUUUCUCCGAGGAGUUCUGCCUCAGCAUUUAGCAUGCACACACACACCUUUAGAGUAUCUGCUGUGGUGCUAAAACUGUUGGAUAUAUGCAGGAGGAAAGAAUAUUUGGGAGGCAUACAAAAAAGUUGGAUGCCACAAAAGGCAGAGAGAGCUCAGAAUAAAACUUCUAUUUAUGCUUUAACAAUCUGUGCAGAAGAAAACAUGUACUUG